rnacentral:lncRNA from 1 species
GAAAUGAAUUUCACCUCCUUUCUCUGUAGGCGUCUGUUUGUUUGUAUUAUGGAACUAUUAUCCUUGACUUAAUUAUGUGUGAAUAUUGAUGGAGAAAGGAGGUGUAGGGUGCUGGUCCUGGUGUUUGAAAUUCUGAUCAUGUUAAAAAUGUGUUACCUCACUUGUGGUGCUGGGUCCCCUCAUCUUCUCUAAGAAGGUGUGAUUCCCUCUUGCCCAAGGAAUUCAUAACAAGAUUCUGGCUCCAUCAACUACCUUAUUAUUUUCCCCUGAGAAAAUGCUUGAGACUUGGAAUUACUAUAGACUAAAGUAUAAGUCAUAGUUGUUGGCUCCAAAAUCUGAGAAUUAUGAUACAGUUGUGUGGGAAAAAAAAAAAAAAAGAACUUUUAGUUACUAUUUCAAUAGUAGGGCAUGGUAGGACUGGGCAUGGUAGUGCACACUUGUAAUUCCAGCACUUAGAAGACUAAAGCAGAAGGAUUGCAAGUUUGUGUCUACCCUGGCCUAUCAAGGGGACAGACACACACACACACAUACACACUUGUGGGGGCCAGGGGAGUAGGAAGAGAGAAUGUUAUAGUAGGUAGGAUGAAUAUUAUGGAAUACCAAAGUGAAGGGAUUUUGUCAUUCAGCAGACUGUUUCAUAUCCAGAAUAGUUCUUCCCUUACCCUUUCAGUCAUAAUUAAAAACCUAAGCUUUCUGGUAAAGUAGGAAUAUACUUUUUACUUUUACUAUUAACAUACUUAUUUUCAGAGACUAAAAAAGACAUACUUCUCCCUUAUUUCUUGGGGUAUCACAAAGAUUCAUUCAUAAUACCAGAGAUUUCUACUCAUUGUUUUUUGGAAGUAGACAUAGAGGCAGCCCUUCCCUUUCCCAAAUCAUGUCACUCAAGAAACAGCUAAAAUGAAAAGCAGUUUCUCCCCUAACCAGAGACCGUAGCCAAAAUAAAAAUUUGUGGGGCUGGGUAUUUCCCAAAUGAAACCAGCCUCUAGGUGCUUGAAGGUUUUGUUCACUGUCACCUGCACAGGAUGUAAAGAAAAGGCGAGUCAGAGUGAGCAAUCUUUACCAGGGAAGUAAGGCAGUAUUUGAGUCACAAAGUAUAUUUUUUAUCUGCUAUCAUGGCAUCAAUGAUCUGUAGAGCUUUUUCACUCAUUGGCUGUCAGGGUAUGAAGGACUGACAACCUGUAAAGAUGAAGAUAUUUAUAUUUUUGUAUAGUUGUUUUCAUAGAUUUCUCAAAGGAUGAAGUUUUCGACCUAGAAGAGAUUUGUAUUGAGUAUAGAAAUGUUUCCUAUCUAGUUUGUAAAUAAUCAUGGUGCAUUUGAGGGGUCUCUCGGGAACUCGUGAGGCAAGAAUCACUGUUCUGAAAAUGUAUAGACUGAGAUGUAGCUGCUGCAUUUGCCUUUCUUAAAUAAUUAUAUUUUGGAAUGUAACCCGUUCUGUCUUCAAUGACAGGAUUUGCUUGUGUUGUAAAAACACUUUAACACAAGUGCUUCCGGUGCCUGGGCUGUGCCUGGGUGAUUGUAUUUCUUUUACACUACUGCGUCUUUAUCCUAAGUCCCACUCUGUAUCCUCUGACCUAGGUUGUGAGACCAACUUUGGAAUGAAUCUAGCCAGUGAAUUACUUCUAUGUUUGAUUUCCUUUUUAGAUUAACUCUGAUAAUCACUAGAUUGAAAUGAUGAAAAACUUACACUGCAAAUGGCAGUGGUAGUAAAUCUUUCAUUGGUUUUGCGCUGCUUGCUCUAGACAGGUCAUCAGCACUUAACCUUUCCUGUUUACUACAAAAGCUGAUAAAGUAAAAACAGUAUUCCU